CAUAAUACAUUGUUUUUUAAUUAAAAACUUGAAUGAAAGGUUUGAUGAUUAGAUACUUUUACUUUUGAACAUAAAAAAUUAAUGUUUUAGUUAAAAAUCUAAAAUCCUUUAAAAGACGAUAAGACCCUAUAAAAUUUUAUUAAAUUUAAAGAUAUUAGUUAAGUUGAAAUUUUAAUUUUGUUGGGGUAAUAAAAAUAACAUAAUCUAACUGUUUUUAUAAAAACAUUUAUUAAUGAGAAAGUUUGACCUAAAAAAAAAAUUAAUAAAGCAAAUUACUUUAGG
rnacentral:rRNA from 1 species